CAAUCAGUCUCUAACAGCAUACAGUUGAUCUCCCCCCAAGAACGAGACAAGGCUCCGUGUUGAGGGUUAAGCAGUGGUCUGGUUUAUUGAGGGCUACCUGCCCGGUAUUUAUGCAGGUCUCCCACCUGGUGGACACUCCCCUAGGGGACCAGAUGGAAGACUAUAACACAGACAGACAUGUAUCACAUUCAGACACACAGAAGUAAAACAUCC